rnacentral:rRNA from 1 species
GAUGAACGCUGGCGGCGUGCCUAAUACAUGCAAGUCGAGCGAACAGACGAGGAGCUUUCUCCUCUGACGUUAGCGGCGGACGGGUGAGUAACACGUGGAUAACCUACCUAUAAGACUGGGAUAACUUCGGGAAACCGGAGCUAAUACCGGAUAAUAUAUUGAACCGCAUGGUUCAAUAGUGAAAGACGGUUUUGCUGUCACUUAUAGAUGGAUCCGCGCCGCAUGAGCUAGUUGGUAAGGUAACGGCUCACCAAGGCGACGAUGCGUAGCCGGCCUGAGAGGAUGACCGGCAACACUGGGACGGAGACACGGCCCAGACUCCUACGGGAGGCAGCAGGGGGGAAUUUUGGACAAGGGGCGCAAGCCGGAGGGAGCAAUGCCGGGUGAAGGAAGAAGGCCUUCGGGUUGUAAACUGCUUUUGUAAGGAACGAAAAGGUUGUAGAUAAUAUCCGGGGCUCAUGACGGUACCUAAAGAAAAAGCAACGGCUAACUACGUG